GCCGGGCAUAGUGGUGCAUGCCUGUAGUCCCAGCUACUUGGGAGGCUGAGAUGGGAGGAUGGCUUGAGCCCAGGAGAUUGAGGCUGCAGUGAGCUGUGAUUGCACCACUGCACUCCAGCCUUGGCGACAGAGCAAGACCCUGUCUCAA
rnacentral:SRP_RNA from 1 species